UAGGGAAUCUUCCGCAAUGGACGCAAGUCUGACGGAGCAACGCCGCGUGAGUGAAGAAGGAUUUCGGUUCGUAAAACUCUGUUGUUAGAGAAGAACAGCGCAUAGAGUAACUGUUAUGCGUGUGACGGUAUCUAACCAGAAAGCCACGGCUAACUACGUGCCAGCAGCCGCGGUAAUACGUAGGUGGCAAGCGUUGUCGGAUUUAUUGGGCGUAAAGCGAGCGCAGGCGGUCAAUUAAGUCUGAUGUGAAAGCCCCCGGCUCAACCGGGGAGGGUCAUUGGAAACUGGUUGACUUGAGUGCAGAAGAGGAGAGUGGAAUUCCAUGUGUAGCGGUGAAAUGCGUAGAUAUAUGGAGGAACACCAGUGGCGAAGGCGACUCUCUGGUCUGUAACUGACGCUGAGGCUCGAAAGCGUGGGUAGCAAACAGG
rnacentral:rRNA from 1 species